GUUAUAUGGUCAAGUGAAGAAGCGCAUACGGUGGAUGCCUUGGCAGUCAGAGGCGAUGAAAGACGUGGUAGCCUGCGAAAAGCUUCGGGGAGUCGGCAAACAGACUGUGAUCCGGAGGUAUCUGAAUGGGGGAACCCAGCCAUCAUAAGAUGGUUAUCUUGUACUGAAUACAUAGGUGCAAGAGGCGAACCAGGGGAACUGAAACAUCUAAGUACCCUGAGGAAAAGAAAUCAACCGAGAUUCCCUUAGUAGUGGCGAGCGAACGGGGACCAGCCCUUAAGUUGUAUUGAGAUUAGCGGAACACUCUGGAAAGGGUGGCCAUAGUGGGUGAUAGCCCUGUACGCGAAAAUCCCUUUGCAAUGAAAUCGAGUAGGACGGGGCACGAGAAACCUUGUCUGAAUAUGGGGGGACCAUCCUCCAAGGCUAAAUACUACUGACUGACCGAUAGUGAACCAGUACCGUGAGGGAAAGGCGAAAAGAACCGCGGAGAGCGGAGUGAAAUAGAUCCUGAAACCGUAUGCGUACAAGCAGUGGGAGCCCACUUUGUUGGGUGACUGCGUACCUUUUGUAUAAUGGGUCAGCGACUUAUUUUCAGUGGCGAGCUUAACCGAAUAGGGGAGGCGUAGCGAAAGCGAGUCUUAAUAGGGCGUCUAGUCGCUGGGAAUAGACCCGAAACCGGGCGAUCUAUCCAUGGGCAGGUUGAAGGUUGGGUAACACUAACUGGAGGACCGAACCGACUACCGUUGAAAAGUUAGCGGAUGACCUGUGGAUCGGAGUGAAAGGCUAAUCAAGCUCGGAGAUAGCUGGUUCUCCUCGAAAGCUAUUUAGGUAGCGCCUCAUGUAUCACUGUAGGGGGUAGAGCACUGUUUCGGCUAGGGGGUCAUCCCGACUUACCAAACCGAUGCAAACUCCGAAUACCUACAAGUGCCGAGCAUGGGAGACACACGGCGGGUGCUAACGUCCGUCGUGAAAAGGGAAACAACCCAGACCGUCAGCUAAGGUCCCAAAGUCAUGGUUAAGUGGGAAACGAUGUGGGAAGGCUUAGACAGCUAGGAGGUUGGCUUAGAAGCAGCCACCCUUUAAAGAAAGCGUAAUAGCUCACUAGUCGAGUCGGCCUGCGCGGAAGAUGUAACGGGGCUCAAACCAUGCACCGAAGCUACGGGUAUCAUCUUUUGAUGAUGCGGUAGAGGAGCGUUCUGUAAGCCUGUGAAGGUGAGUUGAGAAGCUUGCUGGAGGUAUCAGAAGUGCGAAUGCUGACAUGAGUAACGACAAUGGGUGUGAAAAACACCCACGCCGAAAGACCAAGGUUUCCUGCGCAACGUUAAUCGACGCAGGGUUAGUCGGUCCCUAAGGCGAGGCUGAAAAGCGUAGUCGAUGGAAAACAGGUUAAUAUUCCUGUACUUCUGGUUAUUGCGAUGGAGGGACGGAGAAGGCUAGGCCAGCCUGGCGUUGGUUGUCCAGGUUUAAGGUGGUAGGCUGAGAUCUUAGGUAAAUCCGGGAUCUCAAGGCCGAGAGCUGAUGACGAGUGUUCUUUAGAACACGAAGUGGUUGAUGCCAUGCUUCCAAGAAAAGCUUCUAAGCUUCAGGUAACCAGGAACCGUACCCCAAACCGACACAGGUGGUUGGGUAGAGAAUACCAAGGCGCUUGAGAGAACUCGGGUGAAGGAACUAGGCAAAAUGGCACCGUAACUUCGGGAGAAGGUGCGCCGGUGAGGGUGAAGCAUUUACUGCGUAAGCUCAUGCCGGUCGAAGAUACCAGGCCGCUGCGACUGUUUAUUAAAAACACAGCACUCUGCAAACACGAAAGUGGACGUAUAGGGUGUGACGCCUGCCCGGUGCCGGAAGGUUAAUUGAUGGGGUUAGCGCAAGCGAAGCUCUUGAUCGAAGCCCCGGUAAACGGCGGCCGUAACUAUAACGGUCCUAAGGUAGCGAAAUUCCUUGUCGGGUAAGUUCCGACCUGCACGAAUGGCGUAACGAUGGCGGCGCUGUCUCCACCCGAGACUCAGUGAAAUUGAAAUCGCUGUGAAGAUGCAGUGUAUCCGCGGCUAGACGGAAAGACCCCGUGAACCUUUACUAUAGCUUUGCACUGGACUUUGAAUUUGCUUGUGUAGGAUAGGUGGGAGGCUUUGAAGCGUGGACGCCAGUCUGCGUGGAGCCAACCUUGAAAUACCACCCUGGCAACUUUGAGGUUCUAACUCAGGUCCGUUAUCCGGAUCGAGGACAGUGUAUGGUGGGUAGUUUGACUGGGGCGGUCUCCUCCUAAAGAGUAACGGAGGAGUACGAAGGUGCGCUCAGACCGGUCGGAAAUCGGUCGUAGAGUAUAAAGGCAAAAGCGCGCUUGACUGCGAGACAGACACGUCGAGCAGGUACGAAAGUAGGUCUUAGUGAUCCGGUGGUUCUGUAUGGAAGGGCCAUCGCUCAACGGAUAAAAGGUACUCCGGGGAUAACAGGCUGAUACCGCCCAAGAGUUCAUAUCGACGGCGGUGUUUGGCACCUCGAUGUCGGCUCAUCACAUCCUGGGGCUGAAGCCGGUCCCAAGGGUAUGGCUGUUCGCCAUUUAAAGUGGUACGCGAGCUGGGUUUAGAACGUCGUGAGACAGUUCGGUCCCUAUCUGCCGUGGACGUUUGAGAUUUGAGAGGGGCUGCUCCUAGUACGAGAGGACCGGAGUGGACGAACCUCUGGUGUUCCGGUUGUCACGCCAGUGGCAUUGCCGGGUAGCUAUGUUCGGAAAAGAUAACCGCUGAAAGCAUCUAAGCGGGAAACUUGCCUCAAGAUGAGAUCUCACUGGAACCUUGAGUUCCCUAAAGGGCCGUCGAAGACUACGACGUUGAUAGGUUGGGUGUGUAAGCGCUGUGAGGCGUUGAGCUAACCAAUACUAAUUGCCCGUGAGGCUUGACCAUAUAACACCCAAGCAAUU
rnacentral:rRNA from 1 species